rnacentral:lncRNA from 1 species
GUCACACAAACUAAGAUGAAAAGAACUGUGUCUCUCGACCGAACCUGUGAGAAAUCCAACGCAUCCGUUAGUGCAUUGUUGAAGUCUUGAAGAGGAGAAGAGAACCUAUAAGUUUCGGUUCAUUAGAUCGGCUUUGUGAGGCGACUUCUUUUGCAUUUUGUGUGUAGCUGUUGAUUAUUACUGUCAAAAAGAGAACUCUUCUCCCAUUGUUUCGUCAAGCUUAGAAUUAUCGUUAUUAUAAACUACUGCAGCUCACGAACUCUUCUCCCCUUUCUUUUGUCAAGCUCACGAACACAAAUGAUAACAUUUUAAAUUCGAAACCCUAAACCCUAAACCCUAAAUCCUAAACCCUAAACCCUAAACCCUAAACCCUAAACUCUAAACCCUAAACCCUAAACUCUAAACCCUAAACCCUAAACCCUAAAUCUUAAACCCCACCCUUUGACUCUAAACCCUAAGUUUGUGACUUUUGAUAAAACAUUAAGUGCUAUUUUUGUGACUUUUGACCUUGAGUGCUAGUUUGGGAACAAAAACUUGAUUUAGUGCUAUUUUUGUCUUUUUCUCAAAGUAAAUUCAUGCAUGCAAGAGAUAAAUUUAUUUAGUAUUUUGUUAUGAUUGUGUCUAAGAUUAUCAAAGACUUUAUGAUAUUAAAUAAAAUUAUGUUGCGCUUAGUUUGGUUCAUAUUCAUUUUAAUAUGAUUGUCAUGAUUAGUGCCAAUAUACGAGAAAAAAAAUUAAUACUAUCAUCUAUUGUUAAUUUUAAUAUUAAUCUUGAUGAUUACUAACAGAAUGUGGCCAUGUAUUAUGAGCAAAAUUAUAAUUAUUUCAGGGAUACAUCAAUACAAGACAAGGUUUACAUGACAUUCUAACCAGCUCCAUAUCAAAUUUCCGACUGCAGUUCUGUUUAUUGAGAUAAGUACUACUUAUUUUCAGGCCUUUUAUCAAUAUAUAAUCAGCUAAAAUAUGACUAGCUAAAACAGUUUGCAUAUCAUCUUAUACAGUUUAUACAGUAAUAUAUAUAAAAAUAAUAAUUAAUGAGUUAUUAAUGAAAUAUCAUGAAUCAUGUCCCGUUGGUCAUAUUCUAUUAUAUUUAAAAAAAAAUGACCACACUAAGAACAUUGGUAAAAGAAAUGACAAUAAAAGUAGUUAUUAUCAGAUUAUUGAUAUAGAUACUGUCAAAGUAAAAAUGGUAUCAAAUAAGAGAUAUUUCUUAUACCUUAUAAGAAAAGAAACUAGCGUGAGUACAAUAUUUUGUAGUAUCAAGAUUACUGAAAGCUCUAGAAGAGCUGUUUGUCUAUAGAAAGACAACUUGAAAUCAUUAAUGCGUUAUACUUUAUCAAGUCUCAAGGUCAAACGGAUCUAAUAUAUAACAUAUAACCUUAAGUUGGGUAUGUUGUUGAUUCUAAAAUGGGAUGCAAUUCCAGAUAUAUGAACUUAGAGUAUCGUUAUCUCGAGGGGGAGAAUUAGAGAAUCUCACAUCCCUAGUGAGUGGAAAUAGACUCGAAAAAUCAUUUAUAAAAUAAAACCAUUUGAUUUAGAAUCUAAUAAUGUUGAGACAAAAGUAAAGAGAUAUGUUGAAUACCUUCAAUCAGAAGUAUUACGCACGACACUAGUGCAUUGUACUACACAAUGAUUAGAAAAUGGAGAUAAUAUAACCAGAAGUUUACCGAAAGUGUAAUGUUUGGCAAACCGGUUAUGCCAUCCCGGUUUAGUAAUGAUGCGAAAGAUAAUAUAUGCAUAUUCGUUGAAGAACCAGAAGAUUCUUACGAAUGAUCUGAUAUAUGCUGCUUGCUUACAAGGCAAUAUAAGAAUACGGGUUUCACCAGUCAAAUAGAUUUAGAACCUAUUUAAACAAGGACAUGUUUGUGGGCUUGAUCACCCACUGGUGGACUGAUCAUCCAUCAUAUGUUAAUGCAUCGACAAGAAGUUCGUAUGUAUCCUUGUCAUAAAUCGCAACCAAAUGUUUGCGAGACUAAUUGGUAAAACUGGUGAAUUCACAAGCCUUUGAUGAUUAUUUUAUGCAUGUGGAUAUACGUGAUGAACAUAUUGCAGCUAAUGUUCAUACGUAAGAUGCAGCAGCAAUGAUUCGCGUAAUGCCAAAGAGUAAUUAAAAACUUUCUCUAUUAAAUUGGUUUUGGGUCGGGAACCAAAGAUCCCCAUCUAGAGUUGCACAAGUUGUAAUUGCUCCACCAUACAACUAAAAGAUGGGACCUCAAAGGAGGUUAUGAAUAUGCUGGAUCUGAUCUCCAUUGAUGAUAAAAUCUAGAAGCUUUUAUAAGAUUUAUGUAAAGACUCAAAGUCAGUCUAUCCAACAAUAGAGAGAGAAAAUAAACAGCCGGAGAAUGAAUGAGUUAAAACGAAUUAUCAAUGAUCCUCGGACUAAAAAAUGUGAAUAGAAGUCCAAAACGAAUGUAUGGAGAUAAUUCUAUUACAAAGAUUAGCAUAUGAGUUGCUAGACUCAUUUACUGACCCUAAGAAAGUGAUUUAGUCACAAGUACCAGCUGUAAAUGCUCCAAUUAAAAUGGAUGUCCCAGAAGGACAAUAUCAAACUAUUAGUGAGUCUAAAGAGCGUGGAGCGUGAAAGACCUAUCGGUUCCAAAUAUAAUAAUCCUCUAAAAAGAAAAGGAGCAUGAAUGAGAAUGGCAUAAUCGAGGAAUGAAAUAUUAAGGAUCUCCAAAAGAGAUAGAAAACAUGACAAGAAAGAAUCCAGGUACCUGAGAAUAAAAAAAAUCUCAAAUAGCUAUGUCAUGUCUGGAAAAAUAUGGAACUGAUAUCAAAUCGACGUCGUAAAUAUAUAUGCAUGCAAUGUAGCAGUUGAUGAGAAUGAGGAUCAUGAACCAUCUAUUGAAAAGUGUACAAAAAGAAAUGAUUGGCCAAGAUGGAAAUAAGCAAUAGAUGCGGGAUUAAAUCUCUUGGAAAGAGAGAGUAUUUGGACAAGUAGUCCAUACACCUAAUGGUGUAAAACCAGUGGCAUAUAAAUAGGCAUUUAUGUGAAAGAAUGAAUGAGAUGAUGAAAAGUUAUGAGAUGCAAAAGAGUAAUUGCACAAGGAUUAUCACAAAGACCUAUAAUUGAUUAUAAAGAAACACAUCAUCAUGUGGUGGAAGCAUCAACUUUCAAGUUUCUUUAGUCUGGCAAGAAUUGAAAGCCAUUGGAAGAUGACAAUUAUGUGAAAGAUCCAGAAAGAUGUAAAUUGUAAGAAGCAGUAAACCCCAUAAAAACUUGGGCUGCACAAUAAGUGCUAGUUCUCGAGAACACUACUGGACAAAGUAUGCACAAAGUAUGCACAAAGUAGUACGAUUUAUACGAAUAACCUUUAUUAUUGCAUUUGCUUGUAGCAAUAUUCGCCUGAAUUAUGCACGAGCCAAGAUUCGCACAGAUUAUGCACUAAUCAGAUCUGAUAAUAAGAAUUGCGAAAUAUCUAAUUUGCAGAUGCACGAAUUCUUAUACGUAGAAAGCUCAAAUUUCGUACGCAUAUAUUGAGCAUAUAAAGAAAAUAAUUAUUGGUCAUGAGUACCAUAAUAUUGGGAAAUUUACUGAUUUCUUUCAUGAUUGAAAGAUGUGAUUUUGUAUGACAAGAAGGAUAGUCAUAAUUGUAAAUUUUACGAGAAGCAAAAGGAUAACUCGCAUGUAUAAGUAUGCAUAACGUGAAGGUUUAGAAGAUUGUCUAUAAGAGAAAAUUUGGAAAUAGAGUUCAAAUAGACCAAGAUAUGACCUUUUGUGUGAAAGAAAUGUUAUGGACAAGAAGUCCAAUGGUCUUAAGAGAUUAUCUGACAAUCAAACGAGUUUAUUCACUAAGGAUAUGUUUAUAGCAAUUCCUUAAAAGAUGAUAUAUAUGAUGAGAAUACAUCCCCCGAAGAUGAUGCUUCCAGGGGGAGAAUAUUAUCAUGUGUGUGGUUGUACUCUUUUUCCUUAUCAUUAGUUUUGUCUCAUUGGAUUUUCUAUGUUAAGGUUUUAACGAGGCAACAAAGAACACACAAUUGAUAGAUACCUUGAGAGGAAUAUUAUCACUUAAGUGAUAAAGAUAUAUUAAUCUUCUAAUGUAUUUUUGAGACUAAAAGAGAAGGAGAAGAGAAUUAUCAAGGUCUUGAAGAAGAAUCAAUGUAUGAACACAUUCUAUUUUUGAGACAGAAUCGAAGGUCAAUAGUUUUCUAAUCAAAGGAGACUUUUUAGAUGGAAUUAAAAUAUGAAAUUGGUGUCCAGAGAAAGAUCUUUGAGUCUAUUUUCAUUUCCAAUUUGAAUCAAGUCAUUAUCCAUUAUAGAACUCGAGAUGUAGCUUUUUUCGUGGGACAUGUACAAACGGUCUUAGAAUACCUAAUAUCAUAUGAUAUUCAAAACACCACUCGAUAUUUCCGUCUUAACAGAGCGAGAUCGGUGCCUAAAGUUAGACAUGUAUGUUAGCUUCGAUUUCCAAGUGGUUUGAAGUAAUUUUGUCCUAUGGUCACCAAGAUAUUCAAGUUUUAGUGAGGAGUGUCAAAUCUGUCGAGAGAAGUAAACCGGUCCAACCCCAAGAAGAAGGAGUUAAUUCAUCACAUUGGAUUAUGUCCUAUCAGAUAUCUCAAGUUAUGUUCUCAUCAGCGGGAGUAGAUGCGCACACUCUUUUUCCCUUCACCACGGUUUUUCCCACUGGGUUUUCCUGGUAAGGUUUUUAAUGAGGCAUCAUCUUAUGCGAUUUAGAAAAUAUUUUUUAAUGUACAUCCAAGGGGGAGUGUUAUGAACUAUUAUGUGGAUGUCCAUUAGACCCAUAAGCUCAUGUUCUAGAGGAUUCUUAAACCCUAAUGUUGUAUCCUUAUAUAUUGUAUCGUAAUCUAUAGAAUAAUAAGAUUAACCGAUUUCUUCUUUUUCUAUUCACAAUACUUUUAAGUGAAAUUCUCUACCAUUGCCGUUAAACCAGGAUUCCAGUUUGAUUGGGAUUGACAGUGUAAACGCGUGCAGUUUUAAUUUGAGAAUUAUAAAUGGAGAAAGUUAUUCAUCCUAAAUCAUUUAUAAAUGUUUUAAUUUUUUUUUGUAAAAGUUUAUAAACUCAACUCUACCCCUAAUACUAAAUCCUAAAUAAUAAUUAAUAAACUAUAAAUUCAGAUGUUAUGGUAUUUUGACAAUCUCACUCGAAUUAUGAGAAUUGGGUAUGUAGUGAGCAGCUGUCUGCGGUUGCAGCAAGAACUUAGAGACUCCUUGCAAUACAUCAUACCUGCUAAAUCAGUCUAUUGGGACUACGUGUACCAUGUAUGGACUCGCAAAGCAGGUCUUUUAAAAAGUGAUAUCCAAUUUAGUAUAUUUUAAUAGAUUUUUCUUUUUAAUUGUGCCAGUAGUCCAAAUACUUGUUGCCUUGGAGCAUUUAUAAUUUCAUUCCAUUUUUACUUAUUCUUUUUUGCAGCAAAAGUUUUUUUUUAAUUUUCUAUAUUUUUAUUUCUGCAUCAAAUUAAAAAUGAGAUUAAUUCGAAAUAAUUUAUUAUUUAUUAUUUCAAUUUUACUUAUCCUGUAAAAAUAUUAAAGUCUUUCUAAAAAAAUAAAAAGGGAAUAGUACAUUAAAUCCUUUUAUAACGCCUUUUGUGUCAUUACAUUUUCGUAUAUUUAUAAAAAAAAGUAUUAGAUCAGAAAUCAUGUACAGUAGAAUUUAUAGAAGAGAAAAUCAUCAGCUUUGGAAUGAAAUAAUUUAUGUAAGAUUGUAUAAAACAUGAUAUAAGUUUUUUUUUUUUUUUGUAACUGGCUUUGACAUGAUAUAAGUUGGUAAACAAAACUUUUUUGAGCAAUAAUUUCACAUUUACUGAUUUUCUUUUGAAACAAAAUGAUCGAAUGACAAACUCUUGACGAGUUAAUGUUGUCAUAUCAGUUGUUUUAAAUUUUUAGUAUGAACACCUCAAUCACAAAAGAACUUUUUUUUUUUAAAGUUUGGUAAUUCAUAGUGACGUCAGGGGAAGUCUUUAUGCGGCGAAAAUUCGUCGAUGCAUGUAUGGCCAAAUUCAAUAAUGACCAAACGUCAGCUAAAAUAAAAGAUGACCAAUGCGACAAAUAAAAUAAUCCAGAGUGUUGUUCACUUUUGCUGGCCUAUAAACCAAUUAGUCUAACAUUAAGAAUCUCACAAAGUCGGUCAUCUUCUUGAGCACGUUUGAACUUACGUUGGUUAUGGUCAGUUAAUUUAAGACAAACUUCAAAAAGAACUAUAAUAUUUUUGUUACAAACCAUAUUAUAGGAUAAUGGUGACACAAGAGAUACGUUUAAUUAUCAUGGAAAUUGGAAAGUGACAGGUUAUCGGGUCAAAAGCAUAUCUUCUUCCUCGGCAUUUCAUCUGGAUCAAAUAUCCGAAUACCCAUAUCUACUAUAUCUUUUUUAGUAGAUUUAUAUCACACGAAAAAUCUUUAUUCGUUGAGAAUUAAUCAGAUAAUCUGCAACAAAUAGGAAAAAAUACCUUUCCUAUAUAUUUCAAACGCAUUCCGAGUUCGAUUCUCCUGCUAAACGGGGUUGAUCUUCCUGCUGUAAAAACUAAGUCACAUUGUUCUGCUCACCAUGGCUGCGGAUAUGUCUGUAUUAAAACUCGGGAGAGGGUUUGUCGUGAGUUGCAUCUCCCACCUGGAAUUAAGUAUGUGUCUUUAAUAGACUUGGGUUUAACCUUUUUUUCAAAAAAAAAUAUAUUUCAAAAAUACACACACGGCUAUAAAGAAGAAUCACCAUGACAAAAUAAAGAAAUUUAAUUACGUCACAACUUUUCGGUUUUGAUCCUCUUGAUAACGGGAAGCUGACAUGGGCAAUUGCAAUCAUUUCUCCUUUUUUUCUCAAAACGGGUUUCUACUUCCUUGAGUCUAGCUGCUGCUACAACUCUCACAACCUCCUUAACAAUUUCCUUGACAAGAUCAGCUUCAGAGCUGCGAUAAGAGUACACCUUAAGUAAUUCAUAAAAAAUAAUUUCAUAUUGUGGAGGGAAGGAAUUAGAGCGAAUGUGAAUGGAAAGUACCUCUCAUCUUUCAACGACAAACCCAUCUUGCCAGAGAUACACUCCAGUGCUUCCUUCCAUUUCUUGAUCUGAUCUCCACUAGAAGCUUUCGCGAGGUUCCAGAAGUUAUCACCAAACUCACCUGUCUGUCUCCUGACUCUCCUCACGUCACGUGCUCUCACCUUGUAAAAUAUUGGAAUGACUUGGAUCUUUCCUUUGUCCGCUAGUUUCUUCAUCUUUACCAACUCAUCCAUACACCAGCUCGACUCUGCGUACCUAUAAUGAUUACGAUUCUUGUUACUAAUUUUGGUUCAGUGAAGUGGGAGCGUGAAAGAAAUACUAUACAAACCUGGUAGAGAAGAUGGCAAGCGCGAUCCUCGAUUCUUUGAUUCUCUCAAAGAGAUUCUCGAGAUCCUUGCCUCUCUGCUCGUAUUUGUCUACGAAAAGAUUGAUACCAUGCCUUUCAAAAGCAUCAACGAGAUGACUAGCAAAGCUGUAACGCAAUUGCUCUCCCCUCGGUAGUUCAAGAAGACGUGAUGGGCUUCAGUGGCAAAUAACAUUUUCAUCGUUCCACGAUAGCGUAGGAAGUUAAGAACUGACGUUGCUAAGACGUGUGUUUUUCAAAAGCAUAAGAAGUGGCAACAAGCGUGCAUUUUUCUUUUAUCAAACAAACCGAAUAAACGCUCAUAUGUAAUUUGAUAUCAUUUAUCAAAUAUAAUAAGAAGAAAACGGGCGAUCUGUAUAGAUAUGUAAACAAGGGUGGGUUUUACAGUUCUUACAAAACAACAAACUCAUCUAAUAUAAUAUCACAAAAAACAAAGAUGGAAAUAGGUACUUUAAGGAAACGAAUAAAACCUUUGUUUAAAUACGUCCAAACUCCAAAUAUUUUUCUAUAAGGGGGUGGGUGUAUUGGAAUAGGAGGUUUAGUAGAUUUUGGUUAUAAGAUAUGCGCCGUCUUAAUUUAGUAGUUUUAAAUAAACUAAAACUCACAUGCUACGAAAUUUCAAAGGACUGAGGUGGAAACCGUCUUUUUUUGGUAAAAAAAAACUAUGUUAAUAGUAUCCUUGAAUGAAAGUGGUACCUCCAGGAAAUGUAACCUAUGAACAAUACAAAUGGCCAUAUCAAUUAAUGAGUAUAAUCCGCAACAUUUUCAAGAAAUAAUAUUAAAAACUAUGUUAAUUAGUGGAGUUACUCUGAACCCCUAGGUUGAACCUCUAGUUUCACCAACCAAUAAGAUUUCAUUAUUUCAAAUUUGAUAUCUUUUAAAAAAAGAAACAAAAUAUUGGCUAGUUAUAUUAUGUUUUUAAAAUAAAAAAAUAAAAAAAAGAGAUAGUACUAGAAAAAGAAUUAAAAAAAAAAUAUUUUUAACGUCGUCAACGAAACACUAAACCCUAAAUCCUAAUCCCUAAAUCAAAAUCCUAAAUCCUAAACCCUAAACCCUUGGGUAAACCCUAAACCUUUGGGUAAACCCUAAACCCUUGGGUAAACCGUAAACCCUUGGAUAAAUUCUAAACUCUAAAUAAAAAACACUAAAACCCUAAACCCUAAACCCUAAACCC